CUGACUGCUAUCGGAUUGAUACUAAGCCAUGCGAGUCAUUGUAGCAAUACAAGGCAGACGGCUCAGUAACGCGUAGUCAACCUACCCUAUGGACGGGAAUAACCUCGGGAAACUGAGUAUAAUGCCCGAUAGAACAUUAUGCCUGGAAUGGUUUAUGUUCCAAAUGAUUUAUCGCCGUAGGAUGGGACUGCGGCCUAUCAGUUUGUUGGUGAGGUAAUGGCCCACCAAGACUAUUACAGGUACGGGCUCUGAGAGGAGUGGCCCGGAGAUGGGUACUGAGACACGGACCCAGGCCCUAUGGGGCGCAGCAGGCGAGAAAACUUUGCAAUGUGCGCAAGCACGACAAGGUUAAUCCGAGUGUUUCCUGCUAAAGGAAUCUUUUGCUAGUCCUAAAAACACUAGCGAAUAAGGGGUGGGCAAGUUCUGGUGUCAGCCGCCGCGGUAAAACCAGCACCUCAAGUGGUCAGGAGGAUUAUUGGGCCUAAAGCAUCCGUAGCCUGCUCUGUAAGUUUCCGGUUAAAUCCAUUAGCUUAACUGAUGGGCCGCCGGAAAAACUGCAAAGCUAGGGAGUGGGAGAGGUAGACGGUACUCGGUAGGAAGGGGUAAAAUCCUUUGAUCUAUUGAUGACCACCUGUGGCGAAGGCGGUCUACCAGAACACGUUCGACGGUGAGGGAUGAAAGCUGGGGGAGCAAACCGGAUUAGAUACCCGGGUAGUCCCAGCUGUAAACGAUGCAGACUCGGUGAUGCCCUGGCUUGUGGCCAGUGCAGUGCCGCAGGGAAGCCGUUAAGUUUGCCGCCUGGGAAGUACGUACGCAAGUAUGAAACUUAAAGGAAUUGGCGGGGGAGCACCACAAGGGGUGAAGCCUGCGGUUC
rnacentral:rRNA from 1 species